rnacentral:lncRNA from 1 species
CCCUUAGUAUUGUAAUUAUUUUAAUAAUUAUAGUGCACUAUUGAAAUAAAAACACAUUUCCUCUUUCUCUGCCACUUUUUUGGUGUAAUGGGACAUUCAGAGCUUGAAAGAAACCACCACAUAAGUAGUCAUUUCAUCUGUAUCUGUUAAAUGAAUUGCUUUUCCCAGACAUCUAAUUUAUCCAGAGAACAUCUCCUUGGUCAGUAUUACAAAUUGUUUUUAUUUUCUUACACUUGCUUAUUAAUAAUUUUCCAUGUCAUGUCUGUCAUCAGAGAAGGAAGGUCACAUUCAAUAUUUCUCCAUUUCUCUUUUCUUUUUUCCCACUCAUACUCUAGAUUGAAAACUUAGCUAAGUAAAAACAAUUGGUUCAAAUCUUAUUUGAAUUAUGGACACAUUAUUCUCAGUAAAAUAAAUCUUGAGUUUAAAUCCCAUUAUCUUGUGUAAAUUUUUUUAAUUCAAUCUUGGCAAAACAUGCAUAUUUUAAAGAUAUGACCUAUAAUUUUUUCUCUUGACUUUUGUGUUUGGCAGGAGUUCACAGACUUUGCUAACAAUUUUAACAGAUAUGCUUUAAUUUAAUAACUACAAUUUGGUAAUUAGCUGGAGUCGCAUUUCAAAAUGCAAUUGAUAUGAUUUGGCUGGAUUUAUCUGUAUUCUAGAAAAUACAGGACAGUCGUAUAGAUACUGGUGUUGUUACUCUGUUCAUAUUCACACUUUUACCUUGCAUCAUUCCUGAGACACAGAAUUUUUGAUAUUCUGCCACAAUCUAUUCCCAAAACAUCACUGAUGACAAAACGAUAAUAAUCUUUGGAAACAUUUCCUCUCAAGUUCCAAAGUUUUCAGUCAGUAGAAAAAAAAGAAAGAAGACAAAAUUUUAAAGGUGCUGAGAAAAGCCCAGGGCUCACAGCUGGUUUCAGCAACUUCAACUUGCGUAAGACCCCGUGUUUGUGAAAACAACCCAAGAAUCUUUGAACAGGAUGUAAUCAACCUCCGAACUGCUGAGAAAUAUUGCAAAAAUGACUUCAGCUGCCAAAAAUAAUGUCGUUUACAAGCAGCUCUUCCUAUGUCUAAGGAAGAACUAGUCACACAUGCGAGUUUUUGCUGGCUUGAGAACAAGCAAGGAAAAAGACAAAUCCCACCUACCCUAGCCUAAAAUACACAGUGAGUCUCAGAACCCCGCGGAAGCUGUGGCUCAUUUCUAAAGGUGCUGGCAAUAUCGAGGAAGACUUGUAUCCACAAAAUUCCAAAUGGAAAAGAGAGAAAAGAGAACAACAAACAGAUGUGUGAAAAAAAGACACGAAGUACAAAACGGAUGUAUUAAUGGCAAAUAUUAAAUAAUCAAGUCAUUAUUGUGAAUUUGGAUCUAAAUGACCUGGCAGAAACCAUGGAGAUGAUCUUGGAUUUAAAGAGGAAAAACUCAAAGCAAUGUAUUCUGAUCAAGAAAUGGCAGGAAAUGGCAGCUACCUGAUAUGGAACAAUCAACAACUGAAGGUUUAUUUUGAAUGAGAGGUGUUGUCCAACUGCGAGACGGAGUGAUUGAAGCUGAGAAUAAAUGGAAACACAAUCAAUAGUCACUCCAGUGAGGUAGGAAAGAAAGCCAUUCCGAAGUGGCAGAGAAGCUGCUUUUUCCUCCUGCAUGCUGCCUGCUAGUGUGGAUCUUGGCAUAACAGACACUACUUGGCAAAAGAUCCAUCCUUCCUUUUCCUAUACUUUGCUCAGCGGCCUGGAAGAUUGACCUCAAAAGCAAAAUCACCUGGAUUUCCUUGCCAUUUGGCUUUCAAAUGUGCUCAGCCAAUGACAGGCUGGAAAGAAAUUGACAGCUGGGAAAAGAGGAAGAUUUGUGUACAAGAUCCCUUCCACUCCCAUCUCAUUACCUGCCAUGGUCCUAGCAGUGGCUGUUCUUAUUAUGGC